rnacentral:misc_RNA from 1 species
UUAACUUCCUGUAUUUGCGGUAAAUGGCAGCUGAGGAGUUGCUGGCCUUCCUGAUGGGAAUGCUGUCGUCUGCUGUGGCAGGGAUCCUGACUUGUUAUUUCUUCCAACACCACAACAAACGAUAUCAUCAAUGUGUUCACAACAGCAACGGAUCGGUUGGUCCGGAAGGGUGCAAGUAUUUUCUGAAUGCUGUCGGAUUGCUUCCCCGGCUAAGAGAACUUCCGGCCGCCCUUAAUUUGCGCAAGUUUAUUUCACUUUUUUUCGGAUCUAUUUGAUAGAUAGAUGGACGGGUGAAUUGAGAUUCAUUUUAUGUGUUAUUUGUUAAAUUUCUCUUUUCAGUUCCCACAACAACAUACAAGUCAGUGUUAGAACUAGAAAUCAUUGAAGAAAAAGACCCCAUCUCAGGACAAUGUUACAGUCGUUUUUAUUCCAAAGAGAAAACAUAGCUUAUCCAGGAUAAAUAGUGUUUUCAAAAGAACUGAGGCAAUCAUGCAAAUUACAUUGUAGUGUGAAUCCCAUGUAGAAAAUCACCAAUAUUUAGAUAAAAAAUCAAAGUGGACAAAAAUUUGUAUUAACUUUAUUUAUUUUUUUUACAGUGUAUGCAUUUUUUAAUAUGCCCAAAAACAAACAGAAAAAAUAACAAACAAUUUAAAAACAAAUAAAUCAACAGCUACCGCAUCUGAUUUUUUUUUUCAUAACCUUGUAUAUAAAUAUAACACGAAACACAGUUAUUUUGGAUUUAAUCAAAUGGUAUAACUUUGAUAUCAAGCAGUUAUUUUAAGUAUACUCGUACUUUUGGUGUUGAUCCUAUAAAUUAUUAAAAAUCUUAAGAACAAAUAAUGUUCA